GGGUUCGUCACCUAGUUGGUCGAUGGUACCAGACUUUUAAUCUGGAGAAAGCACUAGCUUCCGCGUGAGUUCGAAUCUCACCGAACCCACCA
rnacentral:tRNA from 1 species